rnacentral:rRNA from 1 species
UACGUAGGGGGGCUAGCGUUGUCCGGAAUCAUUGGGCGUAAAGCGCGCGUAGGCGGCCCGGUAAGUCCGUUGUGAAAGUCAAAGGCUCAACCUUUGAAAGCCGAUGGAUACUGCCGGGCUGGAGUCCGGAAGAGGCGAGUGGAAUUCCUGGUGUAGCGGUGGAAUGCGCAGAUAUCAGGAGGAACACCAAUAGCGAAGGCAGCUCGCUGGGACGGUACUGACGCUGAGGCGCGAAAGCGUGGGGAGCGAACAGG